CCAUUUGUUGAGAGAAGUUAAAAACUUCUUGUUGUUGAGCAUCCAUAGUUGAAGAAGAAGAAGAUGAAGAUGAGUAGUUGAGAGACGCUUCAGAGAGGGUUUAGGGUUUUAGAGUGAGUGAGAGUGAUAAGUGUGUGAAAUGUGAGAAAAGUGUUUAAAUACCCUAAGUUAAAACACAUGCAAAACGACACACAAUAUUGCGUUAGCACAAAGCUCAAGUAAGCACGCUUGGGGGAGAAAUGAUUAAGGCU
rnacentral:lncRNA from 1 species